GUUUCCUUUACAGAAGUUCCUUCAGCUCCAGGUUACUCCAGACAGUUACUGGAUUGGAUUGUCUUAUGAUAAUAAAAAACAUGAUUCGGCAUGGAUUGACAAUAAUCCAUCUAAAUUAUUAUCAGAGGAAACUAACUUCAAUAUAAAAUCAUCCCAUGGAAAUAUUGAAAAUUAAAUUAACUUCCAAAUGAAAAAUUAAGUGUGGACUCUAUGAGGAGUUAAGUUUUGAUUGAAAGUGCCUUGAACAUAAAGAAAUACUAUGUAAAGGAUGAAAACUUUGUGUUCUUGUCUAAAACAAGACUAGGCAAUAGUAAACGUGAAAGUGUCUACCCCUGUAUUUGUGAGAAGAGACUGGAUAAAUCCUCUAAUUGCUUCUCUAACAAGAGUUAAAGGUCUUAGUCUGUUGUGCAUACAAAGAGAUGAUCUAGAAAAGGCUGAAAGUGUUCUCUGGAAUCUGAUGUGACAGAGCGAAGGCUUCUUUCUUCCUGUUAGAGACAGGAUACAUCUCCUCUGGUGCAUGGACACACUUUUCCUCAAAGACUUCAGGACUCUGCUUUUUGUGCUUUGUAAAACUCUUAUAAACUAAAUAAAGAACCCCAAC
rnacentral:lncRNA from 1 species